rnacentral:rRNA from 1 species
UCGAUGGUAGGAUAGAGGCCUACCAUGGUGGUAACGGGUAACGGGGUGUUAGGGCACGACACCGGAGAGGGAGCCUGAGAAACGGCUACCACAUCCAAGGAUGGCAGCAGGCGCGCAAAUUACCCAAUCCCGACACGGGGAGGUAGUGACAAUAAAUAACAAUACGGGGUUCUUUCGGAUCUCGUAAUUGGAAUGAGUACAAUUUAAAUCUCUUAACGAGGAACAAUUGGAGGGCAAGUCUGGUGCCAGCAGCCGCGGUAAUUCCAGCUCCAAUUGCGUAUAUUAAAGUUGUUGCAGUUAAAAAGCUCGUAGUUGAAUUUCGGGGUUAGUAGGUUGGUCAUGCCUCUGGUAUGUACUGGUCUCACUGAUUCCUCCUUCCUGAUGAACCGUAAUGCCAUUAAUUUGGUGUUGCGGGGAAUUUGGACUGUUACUUUGAAAAAAUUAGAGUGUUUAAAGCAAGCUAACGCUUGAAUACAUUAGCAUGGAAUAAUGAAAUAGGACGUUCGAUCCUAUUUUGUUGGUUUCUAGGAUUGACGUAAUGAUUAAUAGGGAUAGUUGGGGGCAUUAGUAUUCAAUUGUCAGAGGUGAAAUUCUUGGAUUUAUUGAAGACUAACUACUGCGAAAGCAUUUGCCAAGGAUGUUUUCAUUAAUCAAGAACGAAAGUUAGGGGAUCGAAGACGAUCAGAUACCGUCGUAGUCUUAACCAUAAACUAUGCCGACUAGGGAUCGG